rnacentral:rRNA from 1 species
GCUUAACACAUGCAAGUCGAGCGGUAAGGCCCUUCGGGGUACACGAGCGGCGAACGGGUGAGUAACACGUGGGUGAUCUGCCUCGCACUUCGGGAUAAGCCUGGGAAACUGGGUCUAAUACCGGAUAUGACCUCUUGUCGCAUGGCUUGGGGUGGAAAGAUUUAUCGGUGCGAGAUGGGCCCGCGGCCUAUCAGCUUGUUGGUGGGGUAAUGGCCUACCAAGGCGACGACGGGUAGCCGGCCUGAGAGGGCGACCGGCCACACUGGGACUGAGACACGGCCCAGACUCCUACGGGAGGCAGCAGUGGGGAAUAUUGCACAAUGGGCGAAAGCCUGAUGCAGCGACGCCGCGUGAGGGAUGACGGCCUUCGGGUUGUAAACCUCUUUCGACAGGGACGAAGCGUAAGUGACGGUACCUGUAGAAGAAGCACCGGCCAACUACGUGCCAGCAGCCGCGGUAAUACGUAGGGUGCGAGCGUUGUCCGGAAUUACUGGGCGUAAAGAGCUUGUAGGCGGUUUGUCGCGUCGUCUGUGAAAACUCACAGCUCAACUGUGAGCUUGCAGGCGAUACGGGCAGACUUGAGUACUGCAGGGGAGACUGGAAUUC